rnacentral:rRNA from 1 species
AUUGAACGCUGGCGGCAGGCCUAACACAUGCAAGUCGAGCGGAGCGGCGGACGGGUGAGUAAUGCCUAGGAAUCUGCCUGGUCGUGGGGGAUAACGUCCGGAAACGGGCCCUAAUACCGCAUACUAUCAGAUGAGCCUAGGUCGGAUUAGCUAGUUGUUGGGGUAAAGGCAUACCAAGGCGAGGAUCCGUAACUGGUCUGAGAGGAUGAUCAGUCAGCUGGGAUAUGAGACACGGUCCAGACUCCUACGUGAGGCAGCAGUGGGGAAUAUUGGACAAUGGGCGAAAGACUGAUCCAGCCAUGCCGCGGGUGUGAAGAAGGUCUUCGGAUGGGAAAGCACUUCAAGUUGGGAGGCGUUACCAACAGAAUAAGCACCGGCUAACUUCGUGCCAGCAGCCGCGGUAAUUC